rnacentral:rRNA from 2 species
ACACGUGGGCAAUCUGCCCUUCACUCUGGGACAAGCCCUGGAAACGGGGUCUAAUACCGGAUACCACUCCGUCCCGCAUGGGACGGGGUUGAAAGCUCCGGCGGUGAAGGAUGAGCCCGCGGCCUAUCAGCUUGUUGGUGGGGUGAUGGCCUACCAAGGCGACGACGGGUAGCCGGCCUGAGAGGGCGACCGGCCACACUGGGACUGAGACACGGCCCAGACUCCUACGGGAGGCAGCAGUGGGGAAUAUUGCACAAUGGGCGAAAGCCUGAUGCAGCGACGCCGCGUGAGGGAUGACGGCCUUCGGGUUGUAAACCUCUUUCAGCAGGGAAGAAGCGCAAGUGACGGUACCUGCAGAAGAAGCGCCGGCUAACUACGUGCCAGCAGCCGCGGUAAUACGUAGGGCGCAAGCGUUGUCCGGAAUUAUUGGGCGUAAAGAGCUCGUAGGCGGCUUGUCGCGUCGGUUGUGAAAGCCCGGGGCUUAACCCCGGGUCUGCAGUCGAUACGGGCAGGCUAGAGUGUGGUAGGGGAGAUCGGAAUUCCUGGUGUAGCGGUGAAAUGCGCAGAUAUCAGGAGGAACACCGGUGGCGAAGGCGGAUCUCUGGGCCAUUACUGACGCUGAGGAGCGAAAGCGUGGGGAGCGAACAGGAUUAGAUACCCUGGUAGUCCACGCCGUAAACGUUGGGAACU